AUGAACGCUAGCGACAGGCUUAACACAUGCAAGUCGAGGGGCAGCACAGGUAGCAAUACCGGGUGGCGACCGGCGCACGGGUGAGUAACGCGUGUGCAACUUGCCUAUCAGAGGGGGAUAACCCGGCGAAAGUCGGACUAAUACCGCAUGAAGCAGGGGCCCCGCAUGGGGAUAUUUGCAAAAGAUUCAUCGCUGAUAGAUAGGCAUGCGUUCCAUUAGGCAGUUGGCGGGGUAACGGCCCACCAAACCGACGAUGGAUAGGGGUUCUGAGAGGAAGGUCCCCCACAUUGGUACUGAGACACGGACCAAACUCCUACGGGAGGCAGCAGUGAGGAAUAUUGGUCAAUGGCCGAGAGGCUGAACCAGCCAAGUCGCGUGAGGGAUGAAGGUUCUAUGGAUCGUAAACCUCUUUUAUAAGGGAAUAAAGUGCGGGACGUGUCCCGUUUUGUAUGUACCUUAUGAAUAAGGAUCGGCUAACUCCGUGCCAGCAGCCGCGGUAAUACGGAGGAUCCGAGCGUUAUCCGGAUUUAUUGGGUUUAAAGGGUGCGUAGGCGGCCUUUUAAGUCAGCGGUGAAAGUCUGUGGCUCAACCAUAGAAUUGCCGUUGAAACUGGGGGGCUUGAGUAUGUUUGAGGCAGGCGGAAUGCGUGGUGUAGCGGUGAAAUGCAUAGAUAUCACGCAGAACCCCGAUUGCGAAGGCAGCCUGCCAAGCCAUUACUGACGCUGAUGCACGAAAGCGUGGGGAUCAAACAGGAUUAGAUACCCUGGUAGUCCACGCAGUAAACGAUGAUCACUAGCUGUUUGCGAUACACUGUAAGCGGCACAGCGAAAGCGUUAAGUGAUCCACCUGGGGAGUACGCCGGCAACGGUGAAACUCAAAGGAAUUGACGGGGGCCCGCACAAGCGGAGGAACAUGUGGUUUAAUUCGAUGAUACGCGAGGAACCUUACCCGGGUUUGAACGCAUUCGGACCGAGGUGGAAACACCUUUUCUAGCAAUAGCCGUUUGCGAGGUGCUGCAUGGUUGUCGUCAGCUCGUGCCGUGAGGUGUCGGCUUAAGUGCCAUAACGAGCGCAACCCUUGCCACUAGUUACUAACAGGUAAAGCUGAGGACUCUGGUGGGACUGCCAGCGUAAGCUGCGAGGAAGGCGGGGAUGACGUCAAAUCAGCACGGCCCUUACAUCCGGGGCGACACACGUGUUACAAUGGCGUGGACAAAGGGAGGCCACCUGGCGACAGGGAGCGAAUCCCCAAACCACGUCUCAGUUCGGAUCGGAGUCUGCAACCCGACUCCGUGAAGCUGGAUUCGCUAGUAAUCGCGCAUCAGCCAUGGCGCGGUGAAUACGUUCCCGGGCCUUGUACACACCGCCCGUCAAGCCAUGGGAGCCGGGGGUACCUGAAGUCCGUAACCGAAAGGAUCGGCCUAGGGUAAAACUGGUGACUGGGGCU
rnacentral:rRNA from 1 species